AGGACGAACGCUGGCGGCGUGCUUAACACAUGCAAGUUGAGCGGGAAGGCGUCUUAGGGGUACGUCGAGACGGCGAACGGUGAGUAACACGUGAGCAACCUGCCCUGGACUUUGGGAUAACCCUCGGAAACGGGGGCUAAUACCGGAUAUUACUGUUGCCCGCAUGGGUGGUGGUGGAAAGUUUUUCGGUUUGGGAUGGGCUCGCGGCCUAUCAGCUUGUUGGUGGGGUGAUGGCCUACCAAGGCGACGACGGGUAG
rnacentral:rRNA from 1 species